ACCUCUGGCACCCUGUAUUAAGCUGCUAGCAGCAAUCCUGCAAGUCACUGUCAACUCCAAAGGCCACUGUAUGUAACAGGGAGACCUUUUAUAUUCCAGGACAGGCUGGGAGUCUCUCACGGACUGUAGAGCGGUUGCCAGAUAGUGCUUAGGAGAAGUUAGAUGGAGAAUACAGAAUGAAGCAGUGGAUCUGUCUUCAGGAUUAAAAGAACCAGAUGGGAAAGGUCUGGGAAGUCUGUGGAUGGGACCUGGUAUACGCAUUGGGCAGCUGCCAGAUUUGCCCUGGACUGACUGCUAGCCAGAAAGUCAGACUCCCACCUUAACCUCAUUUUCUUCACCUGAACCAGCAAUGAUGGGAUGGAGUAUAUGCGUUGUUUGGAGCUGGAACAGGCUCACCCCUCCCAGAAUGGGUUCUUGCACAGGAGAUGAUGUUAUCUGUGUCUCCCAUGGUGGUGUGGUGGGCUGGGUGUGUCCUUGUACCAGGAAUGCUUUUAAGAAACAACAUAAUAUUUGAAAUUAUAUCUGCUGGAUGAUA